GACGAACGCUGGCGGCGUGCUUAACACAUGCAAGUCGAACGGUGAAGGGAUCAGCUUGCUGGUUCUGGAUGAGUGGCGAACGGGUGAGUAACACGUGAGUAACCUGCCCCCUUCUUCUGGAUAACCGCAUGAAGGUGUGGCUAAUACGGGAUAUUCUGCGCCUGCUGCAUGGUGGGUGUGGGAAAGAUAUUGUUUCGGUGGGGGAUGGGCUCGCGGCCUAUCAGCUUGUUGGUGGGGUGAUGGCCUACCAAGGCGGUGACGGGUAGCCGGCCUGAGAGGGUGGACGGUCACACUGGGACUGAGACACGGCCCAGACUCCUACGGGAGGCAGCAGUGGGGAAUAUUGCACAAUGGGCGCAAGCCUGAUGCAGCGACGCCGCGUGAGGGAGGGAGGCCUUCGGGUUGUGAACCUCUUUCGCCAGUGAAGCAGGCCUGUCCCUUGUGGGUGGGUUGACGGUAGCUGGAUAAGAAGCGCCGGCUAACUACGUG
rnacentral:rRNA from 1 species